rnacentral:lncRNA from 1 species
UCUCUCUCUCUCUCUCUCUCUCUCUCUCACAUCCAGAUCAGACAUGAGGACCAGAUAUGCUCCACCACGCUGUGCCAUGGUGCUCCUUCACAUCGGCCAAGUCGUUGGCGGCGAGGAAAAGGCUAUGAUCGGGCUCGGAUUUGCUGAAGAAUUGGCCGGAAUCGGUGACGGUUCCGACGUUGGAAGUCGACGACGGCCGCCCGCUCGAAGCUCCACAACUUCAACAUUUUCGUUCAAGCUCCAAAUCUAUAAAAAUAGAAAAGAAAAGAAAGCUUGAAUCCAUGGGUUUUGUGUAUUCUGAGUAUGUUCUUUAUGAAUAAGAAUGCAUUCCUUAUGAAUCUUUCAUUGCUUAGAUUGUAAAUGAAUAUUUGCUUGUUCUAUUUCAUAUGUGUUAUGUUAUUUGGUCAUGCAUACCAAGUGUUUGAUGAAAUGUCUAUGAAUGAAUUAAGGUGCACACCAAGUGUUUGAUGAAAUGUCUAUGAAAGAAUUAAGGUGCAUGAUUCUACUCGAUGAAUAAGAAUGCAUUCCUUAUGAAUUUUUCUUUGCUGAGAUUGUAAAUGAAUAUUUGCUUAUUCUAUUUGAUAAAAUGUCUAUGAAUGAAUUAAGGUGCACACUAAGUGUUUGAUUAAAUGUCUAUGAAUGAAUUAAGGUGCACACCAAGUGUUUGAUGAAAUGUCUAUGAAAGAAUUAAGGUGCAUGAUUCUACUCGAUAGAUCAAAGUAGACCUUGAUGUGCUUGCGAGGGCUGAUACUUUAGCGAUGAUACUUUAUUGAUAUUUGCAAUGUGUGGCUGCACUGUGACAGUAGCGUUCCGCUGCAAAAUAACCAACUUACCAAGCAAGUGUUCAUGUAACUGAUAAUGUAGCUAUCCAAAACUCAAAAUGCUUAUGUAACUAGCUAAAUAACUAUUCAUGUGACUAACAAUCUAACUAGCAUUUAGUGAUGAUACUUUAUUGGUAUUUGCAAUGUGCGGCUACACCGCGACGACAUCGAUCAGUCCGCUGCAAAGUAAUCAACUUACCAAGCAAAUGUUCACGUAACUGACAAUGUAGCUAUCCAAAACUCAAAAUGCUUAUGUAAUUAGCUAUGUAACUAUUCAUGUAACUAACAAUAUAACUACCUUUUAUGUAACUAUGUACACCUACGUACAUCCUACAAUAAACUAUGCAUAUAACUAUCCUUGUAACUAUGCAUGUAACUAUCUAUGUAAUUAUUCAUCUAUGUAAUUAUCCAUAUAACUAUGCAUGUAACUAUCUAUGUAAUUAUCCAUGUAAUUAUCCUUGUAACUAUGCAUGUAACUAUCCUUCUAACUAUGCAUGUAACUAUCCUUAUAACUAUGCUUGUAACUAUCCAUGUAACUAUCUAUGUAAUUAUCCAUCAAUGUAACUAUCCAUGUAACUAAAGAUUGAUAGUUACCUAGGUAGUUACAUACAUGCUACAACUACAU